ACAGGCCUUAAAAUAUCGGUCGGUCACGGACAUUGUCCGACCCAUUCGUGAAAUUGUCCGACGUAGAAAGGAAACCACCGGACAUUCUGUCCAACCAAGGUGAAACUGAGGUUUAUUGUUUGUCCGACCCGAGUGUAUUCGUGUCCGACCGAACUGUAGCUUUGUCCGGCGUAAAUCAAAAUGUACCCUAGCCCAGGACUAGAGGCUUG